rnacentral:misc_RNA from 1 species
GAUGAAGAACGCAGCGAAAUGCGAUAAGUAAUGUGAAUUGCAGAAUUCAGUGAAUCAUCGAAUCUUUGAACGCACAUUGCGCCCGCCAGUAUUCUGGCGGGCAUGCCUGUUCGAGCGUCAUUUCAACCAUCAAGCCCCCGGCUUGUGUUGGGGACCUGCGGCUGCCGCAGGCCCUGAAAAGCAGUGGCGGGCUCGCUGUCACACCGAGCGUAGUAGCAUACAUCUCGCUCUGGGCGUGCUGCGGGUUCCGGCCGUUAAACCACCUUCAUAACCCAAGGUUGACCUCGGAUCAGGUAGGAAGACCCGCCGAACUUAAGCAUAUCAAUAAGCGGAGGA